rnacentral:rRNA from 1 species
CCUACGGGCGGCAGCAGUGAGGAAUAUUGGUCAAUGGGCGGGAGCCUGAACCAGCCAAGUCGCGUGAGGGAAGACGGUCCUAUGGAUUGUAAACCUCUUUAGGCGGGGAGCAAUGCCGGGCACGCGUGCCCGGAGGGAGAGUACCCGCAGAAUAAGCAUCGGCAAACUCCGUGCCAGCAGCCGCGGUAAUACGGAGGAUGCGAGCGUUAUCCGGAUUUAGUGGGUUUAAAGGGUGCGUAGGCGGAUUUUUAAGUCAGCGGUAAAAUGUCCGGGCUCAACCCGGGCCGGCCGUUGAAACUGGGGAUCUUGAGUGGGCGAGAAGUAUGCGGAAUGCGUGGUGUAGCGGUGAAAUGCAUAGAUAUCACGCAGAACUCCGAUUGCGAAGGCAGCAUACCGGCGCCCGACUGACGCUGAGGCACGAAAGCGUGGUGAUCGAACAGGAUUAGAUACCCUAGUAGUC